AAGCGCGGUUAGUGCCGGCGCUAGGCGGUUCGUCCCAUCUAGUGGCUGCUGAGUCCCAUCAAGUGUAGUCAUCACCCUGAGGAUAAUGCUUCUGGGAUCAAGCUCUUCAGAUCAAGAGGAACUGUACUCAAGGAGCUAUAUUUAAGGAACUGUACCCAAGAAGUUCAUCCAUACCUGGAUCUCAAGCCUGAGCCUGAUCGUUUCCCCAGCCUUUGAGCCACCCCAGUUGAUCCUAAGUAGAGCAGAGACAAACUAUCUCCUCUGAGGCCUGUUUAAAUUGCAGAUUCAUGAGCAAAGUAAGUGGUGUUUUGGUCAGUAAGUAUUAGGGUUAUUUUUUUUCAUAUAGCCAUAGUAACUGAAAUAAUUAGGAAGGUAUAUAGUUUCAGAGUUUGUUUUUUAAUUAAGUUUUGGUAAUAAGGUUUUGCUGGUUUCAUGAAAUGAAUUGGGAAACAUUUCAUCUUUUAUUUGGUAUGGAAUAAUUUAAAUAACAUUGUAAUU